rnacentral:tRNA from 1 species
ACCUGGGUGGCUCAGUUGGUUGAGCAUCUGACUUUGGCUCAGGGCAUGAUCUCAGGGCUCGUGGGUUCGAGCCCCACAUCAGGCU